rnacentral:snoRNA from 1 species
UUUCCUUUUCUUUAGUGCGGACAACCAGGACUAUAUCCGUGUUGCUUGUUAUGUUCUUUUAUCCCUACGAUUUAACAAGCGUCAAGUCCUUGGAGAGAGCAAGUUUGGGGCCUACGCCGGUUCCUGUUGAUCAUCUUAAUGCUCUUUUGUUCUUCUAGUGUCGCGACUACUCUUGCAGGUGGAUCGUGUUGAGAUUAGCAAGGGCUGGUAGAUCAUACAGCU